CUUAGAGUAUACAUAAACUAUAAUAUAUGUAUACUCUAAGUUAUAAACACUUGAAAUAAUCGGCUCGCAUCCGAGAAAGACAUAUUUUUCUUCAUUGUGACGGAUAGGAGCCAGUUCUGCAAUUAGGGUGUUAAUAAAUAAUCGUAUUUGACUUAAACAGAAAUGCUUUAAGCUUUGUACUGCAAAUAUUACCGGUCACCGUUCUCGUCGAACCCGUCGCUUGCGACGAAGGGCUCGACGAGUAAAUUAACUCUCAGACACAGCCCACUGAGUUUCUCGCCGGAUCUUCUCAGUGGGUCGCGUUUCCGAUCCGGUGGUAGAUUCUGCGAAGCACGGCUCUUGCUGGGGUUCGUGUUAGCAACGUCAUCAGGUUUGAGCCCCGUGAGCUCACCUACAAACGUUAGGGUUACGCUGAAAUAGCCCCUAAGGCUAUCAGCUUAGGUAGGAAAAAAAGAAAAGAAGCAAAUAUUAAGUAUUCAUUCUUUUGCCAUUAGAUGCAUUACGUGUCUUCCUAUUUUCCAGUUUCGUCUAAACAGAUGGCACUGAACUACCAAUGGAACUGACUUCAAGACGUCCGAUUACCUUAAUUGUUUGCACACACAUUAACACGCGAUGACGAUACAAUAAUUUUACAAGUUCGUUCUAAUAUCCUGAGAGCAAGAAUGAGUGAUGAUAGAUGGACCUUUCGCCUGACGUCAUGGCCAGGCCCUCGGGAAAUAGAAAAAAAGGAAGACCUAGAAGCAGAUGAGCUGACGACAUCGAAGGGACGGCUGGUAUAGACUGUGGGUGGAAAAGGCCAUAGACAGAGACUAUUGGGUAUCUUUGGAGGAGGCCUUUACCCUCAAACAGAGGGGUUCACGCUAAUCUAAACUUAAAACAAAUCAAUUGAAAGUAAUUAAAAAUCAAUAAUAGAAUAGUAAUAAUUUAUAUUUAAAAUGUAUUCGUUUUUCCACGGGUGAAAUAAAGGCUUUUUUAUUUUU